rnacentral:tRNA from 1 species
GCGGGUGUGGCGGAACUGGUAGACGCGCCAGAUUUAGGUUCUGGUGGGCAUAGCCCGUGCAGGUUCGAUUCCUGUCACCCGCA